rnacentral:rRNA from 1 species
CCUACGGGAGGCAGCAGUAAGGAAUAUUGGUCAAUGGGCGCAAGCCUGAACCAGCCAUGCCGCGUGCAGGAAGACGGCCCUACGGGUUGUAAACUGCUUUUGUACCGGAAUAAACCCUUUUACGUGUAAGAGGCUGAAUGUACGGUAAGAAUAAGGAUCGGCUAACUCCGUGCCAGCAGCCGCGGUAAUACGGAGGAUCCAAGCGUUAUCCGGAUUUAUUGGGUUUAAAGGGUGCGUAGGUGGCUUUUUAAGUCAGGGGUGAAAGACGGUAGCUUAACUAUCGCAGUGCCUUUGAUACUGAAGAGCUUGAAUGAACUAGAGGUAGGCGGAAUGUGACAAGUAGCGGUGAAAUGCAUAGAUAUGUCACAGAACACCAAUUGCGAAGGCAGCUUACUAUGGUUUUAUUGACACUGAGGCACGAAAGCGUGGGGAUCAAACAGGAUUAGAUACCCUGGUAGUCCACGCCCUAAACGAUGAAUACUCGAUGUUGGCGAUAUACGGUCAGCGUCUAAGCGAAAGCGUUAAGUAUUCCACCUGGGGAGUACGCCCGCAAGGGUUGAAACUUAAAUGAAUUGACCGGNNGAGAGNGCGAGACGACGACGAGGGAGAG